rnacentral:misc_RNA from 1 species
CUGGAGCAAUUUUGAUAUGCAUUCCUCCAACACUACUAAUUUUAGUGGUCUUAGCAUUUGCUUCUCUCAAAGUCACGGCCAUUAGCAUCAUCACAGUGAUUUUAGGGCUUGCCCUGCAGCCCUGUUUGAUGUAUGCUGGAAAGAAGAGGUGGUUUAGGUUCUCUGAGAAUUCUGACCUUGCUGACAUCCGUUUCACUUAUCACGAGCGUAAUGCACCGUGAAUGUGGUUUCCUUCUCAAUUCUCUGUGCACACGAAAUGCAUAUGCCAU